GGAGGAUAUAGCGUGUAAUGACAGACAUUUAGUGUGGGCACUUCUAAAAUAUUUUGGAGCGUCCUCUACCACUGGUCAGGAUGAGCCAACCACCUCCUCCGCUACAAAUAUGUCUCCACAAAUAUCUGAUAUUGAGGAUGAAGACCUCUUUGCCUCUACUUCUACCCAGCAUGAGCUUUCAGAAAUGCCUGGAGCUGAACCCCCACUGAGCCCCACUGGCCCUCACAUCUGACUGACAGGAUUCGGACUGAGCUGGUUCACAGAGGACCAAGUAAAGUGCCACCUGGCUUUGUUUUCCGUAGGAAUGAGAGUAAUGUGAGAAGUUGCCACCACUAAUAUUUUAAGAAGACAUUAGUAAGUGGUGAAAAGAUGGCAAGAAGAUGGCUGAUUUCUUCAAUUAAGAACAACAGCCUCUUUUGCUUCUGCUGUAAAUUGUUUUCCAAGAGGAACAUCAAUUUAACAAGUGCAGGAAUGGCAAAUUGGAAACAUGCAUGCAAUGAUAUCACAUCAUAUGAAAACAGUUGUUAUAAUAAAAUAUUGCUGUUUGU